rnacentral:rRNA from 1 species
ACAGGAUUCCCCUAGUAACGGCGAGUGAAGCGGGAAGAGCUCAAAUUUGUAAUCUGGCACUUUCAGUGUCCGAGUUGUAAUCUCGAGAAGUGUUUUCCGCGCUGGACCGCAUACAAGUCUGUUGGAAUACAGCGUCAUAGUGGUGAGAACCCCGUAACUGAUGCGGAUGCCCAGUGCUUUGUGAUACACUUUCGAAGAGUCGAGUUGUUUGGGAAUGCAGCUCAAAUUGGGUGGUAAAUUCCAUCUAAAGCUAAAUAUUGGCGAGAGACCGAUAGCGAACAAGUACCGUGAGGGAAAGAUGAAAAGCACUUUGGAAAGAGAGUUAACAGUACGUGAAAUUGUUGGAAGGGAAACGCUUGAAGUCAGACUUGCUAUUUGGAUUUAUUCAAUUCGCAGGCCAGCAUCAGUUUUCGGGGGUGGAAAAGGGUUUGGAGAAGGUAGCAACUCCGGUUGUGUUAUAGCUCCUUGCUGGAUUCAUCUUUGGGGACUGAGGAACGCAGCACGCUUUUUGCAAGGCUUUCGAGCUUUUCGUGCUUAGGAUGCUGGUGGAAUGGCUUUAAACGACCCG